rnacentral:rRNA from 1 species
UACGAACCGAGCGAACGUUGUUCGAAAUCACUGGGCUUAAAGGGCGCGUAGGCGGGUGCUCAAGUCCGGGGUGAAAUCCUCCAGCUCAACUGGAGAACUGCCUCGGAUACUGGGUGUCUCGAGGGUGGUAGGGGUAUGCGGAACUAUCGGUGGAGCGGUGAAAUGCGUUGAUAUCGAUAGGAACUCCGGUGGCGAAGGCGGCAUACUGGACCACAUCUGACGCUGAGGUGCGAAAGCGUGGGGAGCAAACAGG